rnacentral:rRNA from 1 species
GCUUGAGCACGUAGGUGGGUUUGUAAGUCAGAUGUGAAAGCCUUCUGUUCAACGGAAGAAUUGCAUCUGAAACUGCGAGUCUUGAGUGUAGGAGGGGAGAAUGGAACUUCUGGUAGAGCGGUGAAAUGCGUAGAUAUCAGAAGGAACGCCGGCGGCGAAAGCGAUUCUCUGGCCUAUUACUGACACUCAGUGUGCGAAAGCUAGGGGAGCAAACGGGAUUAGAUACCCCGGUAGUCCUAGCCGUAAACGAUGGGCACUAAGUAGAGGGAAUUACCGAUGUUCUCUCUGCCGUAGCUAACGCAUUAAGUGCCCCGCCUGGGGAGUACGGCCGCAAGGCUAAAACUCAAAAGAAUUGACGGGGGCUCGCACAAGCGGUGGAGCAUGUGGCUUAAUUCGAUGCAACGCGAAAAACCUUACCGGGGCUUGACAUGGUAGAAGUAGGAACCCGAAAGGGUAACGAGCGGUAUCCAGUCCGUAGCUAUCACAGGUGUUGCAUGGCUGUCGUCAGCUCGUGUCGUGAGACGUUGGGUUAAGUCCCCUAACGAGCGAAACCCUUGUUUUUAGUUACCAGCGGGUUGUGCCGGGUACUCUAGAAAGACUGCCGUCGUCAAGACGGAGGAAGGUGGGGAUGACGUCAAGUCAUCAUGGCCCUUAUGCCCCGGGCUGCACACGUGCUACAAUGGUCGGUACAAACGGAAGCGAAGCCGAGAGGUGAAGCGAAUCCAAGC